CCCCUCUCAGGAUUACACCUGGAGAGUUGCCAGUACUCCACCAGUCUCAGCUCCAGGAGGGAGAAUCAAGCAGAGGCAUACCUAUUUCAUUCCUAGCUUGGGCAAGUGGCUAGUGAGUGGAAGUCAGUCUGCUACAAGU